UCUAACAGACUUGUCAACACUUUUAGUUCAUUGAUUCUGUUUACCCCGAAAUUGGAUAAUCAAUUAAAUUUGUGAGUGGGUAUAAGAUAUGUGGUUAAGUCGCAAUCUACUUGGUAAAAGAAAGUGUUAUAUCCCGUAUUUCGCAUAUUUGAAAAAAAUCUGAAAUAAUUGUGACUUGCAAGAGAUGAGGUAAUAUUUUGAUUUUGGUUAAUAUAUAUGUUGAGGUUCAUGAAAAAUAUUGACGCGAAAAUAUCGAGGAAGGCUAAGGGCAAAAUUGGAAUUUUGAAAAUUAAUUUCGUGAAUUACAAAUUAUUUAACCAAGUAAUUGGACUAGGAAAAAGUCACAAAAAAAAAUAUAGAAAAGAGGCCCAAGCCCAUGGGCCAAAUUAAUUCAAUACAACAAAUAAAUAAAGGGGGCCAUUAGUCAUCUUCUUUUAGAAGAUUCAAGAAAACAAAACAAUUGAGAGCAAGAGCCAAGAGAAAGGGCCAUACGGCCAAAGAAAAGAAAAGAAAAAAAAAAUUGGAGCUCAAAUCUUUAGUUCAAAAAUUCAUCUCUUGUGGAAUUAAUACUAAGCUCAAAGCCCUCUUCAUUGUGAUACAACUUUGGAAGCAAGAAAGUACUUUUUUUACCAAGUGGAGAAUUUGGAAAAGAUUUUGGAGGAAACGGGAUUUGAGUUUGGACAAGCGUAAGAAGCAAAUAAGGUACAGACGCUUAUUGUGGUGAUCCGCCAGUCUAGGGUGCCCUUUCUGCUACCUCGGAGUGCUCCUUUGAUCCGGAGCCCACGCUUUUGGUAUAGAUCGUUCUGUUGUACAUAUUUAUGUGUAUAUGACUAUUCAGGGGUACGGCUGGGCCCUGUCCCGCCAUAUGAUUCUGUUGUCUGUAUUAGAGGCCUGUAGACAUGUAUGUGGGUCAUGGGUCGUUUUGUCCGGUUAUGUUAAUUUGGUUCAUGUUUGGCAUUUCCCUACACUGCGAUAACUUGAUCGGUUUGUGGACUAUAUUAUAAGUAACGAUAUAAGUGAUAUGUUGCCUAGCAUGCACGAAGGUCCUUAAUAUGUUAAGCGCAAACAGAUUUUGGUUAGUAAAUAUGUACGAGUGUCCAUCUCGAGCACUAGUCGCGGCCUACGGGGUUGGGUCGUGACAGAAAGAUAUAAAUAUAGAUAUGAUGUGAAGAGA